CGCACUGCAUGGCUCCGGAACUUCCAUCAGGAACCGGGGAGUCAGAAGAAUUGGUGCUGAUUUACUCAGGAGGUCAUUUGUAACGACAAGGGAGUAUAUCAAAAAGGCGGUUUCCAAAGCAGACCAAGUCUCCUCUGAACUGAAAUUCGCCAGGUCUGAGAUGAUGUGCCUAGCAUUAAUAAUCACCCUUUCAUUGUGAAAUCGGCCAUUGAAGAUCAUGAGCUAGUGACAUGUGGAUGAACUGAUUGGUUUACGUUCCUCUGGGAUGAUGGUAUUAACCUUCCGUAAUGUCAGAAUGAUGAACUUCCAUCUGUACUGGUGCAACUCUGGAAUCUCUGCCCCUGGAUGCCUCCUUUCAAGACUGAAAAGCUUAAGCCUCCAGCAGUUUUUCCUCUUAAGUCAGACCUAACUCUAAGGAUCAAGAUCGAAAACCUUGUAGGUCCUCUCUGUCUCCAGUGCUUGAAUAUUUCCCAUUUUUCUCAGUGAGCAGAAAUGUAUAUUGUACUCAAGGUGUGGUCUGAUCAAAGCACUGAAAAGUUUGACCACAACUUUCUCUGACUUGUAUUCUGUUGUUUUAGUUAUUCUUGUUGCUGUGCUUAUUGCUGCUCUGCAUUGGCUGGACCUGUUGAACGUUGACACAAAUGCAUAAUACUAUGGAUGCUGGAAAUAUGAAAUAAACAGAAAGUGCUGGAAAUAA